GAGGGUAUAGCACAGUGAGAGCAUAUGCCUAGCAGGCACAAAGUCCUGGGUUCAAUCCCCAGUACCCCCA
rnacentral:tRNA from 1 species